GGAUGAGAAAGGCAGAGAGGGAAGGGAUGAGAUAAUGACCCAGAUCUGCUCCUGCAAACUGCCACAGAGCCCAUUAGGAGAGGGCAAACGCAGCUCGGGAAUCCAGGCAGCAGCAGCCUGUGGUGGUGCCCUGAGCUCUGAGUCAGCCCCUGGGCAGGACGCAGCCAGCAGCAGCACCCAAUGAGGCCCUGAAGCUCAGCAGGACACCCCCAGCCCCUCUUUCUGGCACUGGGGGAUUGCAGUGAGACAAGUGAGAGAAGCCGGAGCCUGCUCACAGAGGGCUGCUCCCAUCACCAGCUGCAGCUGGGGGAUACGGCUGGGAACGUGAUGGGCUGCCCAUGCACGGGCAUGCAAGGUGGAACGGUGGCCUCAUGCAGCCCUUUGGACCCUAUUUCACCAAUAUUUGUGCCCGAUUUGGUGGCUGUGGUCUCAUUCCAGGUCCUCAGAGUCCCCACUCAGGGGUGGCACUCAGGGAAGGCGCUCCCCUCGAUGGAGGUCUCGGAUGCAUCCCCACUUCUCAGCCUGACCAUCCCUGUCUUCCCACCACGUGAAAAACGGAGCGGUGUCACAUCUGAGGUGAUGCAGACAGGAGGGAUUUGUGUUUCGUCUGCCGUUGUUUGCUGUUCCCAGCGAUUUGUCAUGCUCUGCUGACAACUCAUUGGGGACCCGUGACACAGUGUGCCACCUAUUAGCAUGAGGACAAAUCCUGACUGAGAAAGCGUCCCUCCUCCACCUCGGAGACCUUUCCUCCCUUGGUCGCCCUGCUGGACACCAGCUGCUCCCUCCUAGCUGACAAGAGACAGCCAAACCAAGGGGACACAAACCGUAUGGGCAGACCCAAAGCACGAUGUGGAGAUGCCCCGAGUCCAUACCGAACAUUUUCUCCCUGCACAGAGCCACCCCAGCCCUGGUCCCACCCAGCCCAAUGCCAGCAUGCUCUGGGUAGAAACCAGAAGGGGACACCCCCAGCUCCCCGUGGUCCCCAGCCCUGCCCUCUCCUCACCAUCGCCUGUGCUUCCAGCAGAGAAAAAUGCUUAUUCUCCUUAAUGGGCUAUUGCAGCCCAGACAGGCGUUGCACACACAAACACACACACACACACACACAGUCUCUGCACUACCCAUACCAAAUCCCUGCCCAAACCAUUGGGGACCAUUCUGUUUCUCCACACCGUGUCACCCCCCCCCAGGACCCCACCUCUGUCCCUUUGCUUUCAG
ensembl:lncRNA